CGCCCCUGUCGUCUAGCCCGGUUAGGACAUCGCCCUUUCACGGCGGCGAGACGGGUUCAAAUCCCGUCGGGGGCGU
rnacentral:tRNA from 1 species